rnacentral:rRNA from 1 species
CCUACGGGAGGCAGCAGUGAGGAAUAUUGGUCAAUGGCCGAAAGGCUGAACCAGCCAAGUCGCGUGAAGGAAGACGGCCCUACGGGUUGUAAACUUCUUUUAUCCGGGACUAAAGCGACUUACGUGUGGCUCUUUGCAUGUACCCUAUGAAUAAGCAUCGGCUAAUUCCGUGCCAGCAGCCGCGGUAAUACGGAAGGUGCGAGCGUUAUCCGGAUUUAUUGGGUUUAAAGGGUGGGGAGGCGGUGGGUCAAGUGUGCUGUGAAAUUUGCGGGAUCAACCAGGGACUUGCAGUUGAAACGGGAGGCCUUGAGUGCGCGGGAAGCAGGCGGAAUGCGUGGUGUAGCGGUGAAAUGCAUAGAUAUGACGAAGAACUCCGAUUGCGAAGGCAGCUUACGGAGGCGGAACUGACGCUGAUGCACGAAAGCGUGGGUAUCGAACAGGAUUAGAUACCCGAGUAGUC